UACGGAGGUGGCGAGCGUUACUCGGAUUUAUUGGGUGUAAAGGGCAAGUAGGCGUCUUAACAAGUUGGAGGUGAAAUCCUGCAGCUCAACUGCAGAACUGCUCCCAAAACUGUUGAGAUUGAGACUGGAAGAGGAAAGCGGAAUUCUCGGUGUAAGAGUGAAAUCUGUAGAUAUCGAGAGGAACACCAGUGGCGAAGGCGGCUUUCUGGUCCAGUACUGACGCUGAAUUGCGAAAGCUAGGGGAGCAAACAGGAUUAGAUACCCUGGUAGUCCUAGCCGUAAACUAUGAGCACUAGGUGUUGGGGGUUUACCCUCAGCGCCGUAAGUUAACACGUUAAGUGCUCCACCUGGGGACUACGACCGCAAGGUUAAA
rnacentral:rRNA from 1 species